rnacentral:rRNA from 1 species
GACGAACGCUGGCGGCGUGCUUAACACAUGCAAGUCGAACGGAAGGGCCCUGCUUUUGUGGGGUGCUCGAGUGGCGAACGGGUGAGUAACACGUGAGUAACCUGCCCUUGACUUUGGGAUAACUUCAGGAAACUGGGGCUAAUACCGGAUAGGAGCUCCUGCUGCAUGGUGGGGGUUGGAAAGUUUCGGCGGUUGGGGAUGGACUCGCGGCUUAUCAGCUUGUUGGUGGGGUAGUGGCUUACCAAGGCUUUGACGGGUUGCCGGCCUGAGAGGGUGACCGGCCACAUUGGGACUGAGAUACGGCCCAGACUCCUACGGGAGGCAGCAGUGGGGAAUAUUGCACAAUGGGCGGAAGCCUGAUGCAGCAACGCCGCGUGCGGGAUGACGGCCUUCGGGUUGUAAACCGCUUUCGCCUGUGACGAAGCGUGAGUGACGGUAAUGGGUAAAGAAGCACCGGCUAACUACGUG